rnacentral:misc_RNA from 1 species
GAUGAAGAACGCAGCGAAAUGCGAUACGUAGUGUGAAUUGCAGAAUUCAGUGAAUCAUCGAAUCUUUGAACGCACAUUGCACCUCUCGGUAUUCCGGGAGGUAUGCCUGUUCGAGCGUCAUUUGUACCCUCAAGCUCUGCUUGGUGUUGGGUGUUUGUUCCGCCUCUGUGUGUGAACUCGCCUCAAAACAAUUGGCAGCCGGCGUACUUGUUUCGGAGCGCAGCACAUUUUGCGAUCCAGAUCAACGUACAGCGGCAUCCAAGAAGCCUUAUUUAACGCUCUUGACGUCGGAUCAGGUAGGGAUACCCGCUGAACUUAAGCAUAUCAAUAAGCGGAGGA